rnacentral:rRNA from 1 species
GACGAACGCUGGCGGCGUGCUUAACACAUGCAAGUCGAACGAAGUGGCGAAAGGGUGAGUAACGCGUAAUCAACCGGCAAUUCAGAGGGGGACAACAGUUGGAAACGAGUGCUAAUACGGCAUACUGAGGGAGGGGAUUGCGUCUGAUUAGCUGGUUGGGGGGGUAACGGCCCACCAAGUGGAUGAUCGGUAGCCGGACUUAGGAGAUGGACGGCAACAUUGGGACUGGUACACGGCCCCGACUCCUACGGGAGGCAGCAUGUGGGAAUCUUCCGCAAUGGACGGAAGUCUGACGGAGCAACGCCGCGUGAGUGAUGACGGCCUUCGGGUUGUAAAGCUCUGUUAAUCGGGACGCGGUACCGGAAUAGAAAGCCACGGCUAACUACGUGCCAGCAGCCGCGGUAAUAC